AGCGUGGGGAGAAAAGAGGAGUAGAUACCCUGGUAGUCCACCCUGUAAACGACGAGUACUGGGUUUCGGGGGUUACCCCCUUCGGUGCCGCAGCUAAUGCAUCAAGUACUCCGCCUGGGAAGUACGCCCGCAAGAGUGAAACUCAGAGGAAUUGACGGGGACCCGCACAAGAAGCGGAGCAUGUGGUUUAAUUCGAAGCAACGCGAAG
rnacentral:rRNA from 1 species